CCUACGGGAGGCAGCAGUGAGGAAUAUUGGUCAAUGGGCGUAAGCCUGAACCAGCCAAGUCGCGUGAGGGAUGAAGGUUCUAUGGAUCGUAAACCUCUUUUAUAAGGGAGUAAAGUGUGGGACGUGUCCUGUUUUGUAUUUACCUUAUGAAUAAGGAUCGGCUAACUCAGUGCCAGCAGCCGCGGUAAUACGGAGGAUCCGAGCGUUAGCCGGAUUUAUUGGGUUUAAAGGGUGCGUAGGCGGCCUUUUAAGUCAGCGGUGAAAGUCGGGGGCUCAACCAUGGAAUUGCCGUUGAAACUGGGAGGCUUGAGUAUGUUUGAGGCAGGCGGAAUGCGUGGUGUAGCGGUGAAAUGCGUAGAUAUCACGCAGAACACCGAUUGCGAAGGCAGCCUGCCAAGCCAUGACUGACGCUGAUGCACGAAAGCGUGGGGAUCAAACAGGAUUAGAUACCCUUGUAGUC
rnacentral:rRNA from 1 species